rnacentral:pre_miRNA from 1 species
CAAGUACUCCCUCCGUUCCGAAUUACUUGUCGCAAGUAUGGAUGUAUCUAGAUGUAUUUUAGUUCUAGAUACAUCCAUUUCUGCGACGAGUAAUUUGGAACGGAGGGAGUAGGAU